UAAUGUGGUUCUAACACAUACCGACACAAUUUUUCUCUUAUGAGAAUAAGAAACCCUCGGUUGUUUCAUUUGAUUUCUCUUCGUGGUCUUUCAAGUUCAGAUUUUCAAAGACUACUUUUUUUCCAGUUCUUUACAUCUUCUCGGCUGGGCUGUUCUAAUUUCAGAUUUUCUGAUGGAGCUUACUCUAAGUGUCAGUUGAGAACUCCGAUGGAGCUUACUUUAAGUCUCGGUUGGAAACUCUGAUUGUAUGCAUUCACACAGUCAUUGAAGUAUUUGCAGUUACAUGAAAGAAUAUCAGAGUGAGAAUAUCAUGCAUGCCUAUCAUUUCCUUGAAAUUGACUUCUAAGGACCUACCAACUAUCCCAUCAAAUGUUUGUUGCAGUUGAUAUGUCUUUUGGAGGAAGAGAGAAGACAAAUCAAACUCCAGCUAAUGCAACAAGAAGUUCUCCGUUAUUCAGAUCUCAAAAAGACAUGGGAGCUAACUGGUUGAAGGAAUUACAGAGAGCUGCUACUUGAACUGCUUUAUAAAGUCUACUUGAUGGUUUUUACAUAGAGCCUGAUUGAAAUUUGUAAGUUAUUAAAUCCUUUCAGGUUUAAUGUAUUCAUGAGGGGAGUUCUCAUUAAAUACUUAGAUAUACUUCGUCUCUUGCCCAAAUUGAACGCCAUUUUUAUCAUCUUCCUAAUUUGAACUUUUGAUCUCUCCUUAAAUUUGCUGCAUCCUUUUCAUGUGCAUGAUGGCUUUGUUUUCUAUCAAACUUCCAACACCAGGUCCUAUGAAAUAAGAGUUGAUAGGACUGCUUCUACAGACGAUGAUAAAUCGUGAUAGGUAAUCUAGGCACCAUGUUGGUUCUAUUAUCUUUUAAAUGACUUGUGUCUCCACCCUUUUCUAUACUGAUUAACAUGGCAAGUUAUGUUUAUUCAAGGGACCAUUCCUUUUUUUUUUCUUUGGUUGCUCAAUGCUGGUAAUUGGUUUGUUAUAAAGCUUUUGAUAGUUCGUCUUCUUACGUACUUCCUAGAUAAAUGAAUAGUAUAGCCUUGAGGAAUACAAUGCUCUUCCCUCAUAUGUAUCUCUAAUUCAUUUUUUAAAAGAAAAAACAGUAUUAGAUAUGCAUUUGGAAGGAAGAGAAUUUGUUCUUCCAGAUGUAUUUCUAAGGGGAUUUGCCAUUUUGAAUUAUCGCUCUCAGUUAAUUUGAAUUCUACUUGAGCUUGCAUUACUCCUUGGGACUAGCAUCUUAUGUUUAUUAGUACAUAGAUUUGCUACUACUUUAGAAUGUAAUUUGCAUUAAAGAUUAAAAGGUGACGAUUGUUCUCUAAUCUAUAACUGAUUUAACAUUUUUUAGCUCCUCAUAGUUGAGGGCGCUAAAAUAUUCCAUAUUAAAGCUCCUGAGUUAUGCUUGUCAAAAUCUUGUACCGGAUGGAAAUGCUUUGACCAUUAGUGGUAAAAAGCCUUUUGUAUUUGUUCAUACAAGCCUUGUGAGCUGUUAACUCAAAAGAACUUGCUGGUCUGGAUUAUGUCCUUAAGUUAGACGAACUUUCAAAUGUACUGUUUGUGUUGCUAUCUGCUCCUUGGGGUUCUGAUAUGCAUUAUUAAAGAGACGAUGGAUAUCUAUUGAUGGGCUCCCAGACCUCAUUAGUGGGAUUAUACUGGGUGGUUGUUGUUGUAGUAUUACAAAUGAUUAUAUCCAUUAUCAGUUAGAAUAUCUACUCACGGGCUGGAUUUAGAAUUAGACGUAGGAAAAACAAAGGAAGUGUACACAACAGUGUCAUUAAUAAAGUCUCGAUAAGCUGAUGAUGUGGCAUGCGUAGCUAAAUCCAUGAUUCAACACGCCGCUCCUGCCCAUCACGGUCAAAUGCUGUAUAAAAAAGCAAAAGAGGUGUUUUCAGUAAAUUGUUACUUACUAACAACAAAAAGUAUUCACCUUAGAGAUAGAGAAAUUUAAGGUUGAAAUGUAUCAAACUACAAAUUCAGCAAAAAGCACAAAAAGAUAGAAAUAUACAAAACAACUAAUUAUAUUGAGUCUGUUAUACAAGUAGAUGAGUUUGAAUCUCAAUUUGUGUUAGUUUAGUCAAAUUAUGACUUAGCACAAAAAACAUAUAAUAUUGGAUCCGAGACUCUUUCUUCACAUAAACAGGUCCAUAAGACAGCUUUGUCUAAGGACAGCAUGUCAAAGUAUAUUAGCUUUACUAUAGAAGCUUUUUUCCUUCAUUCGACCAAGUACAAUUUAGUUUCCCUUUUUACUGUAGCAUGCUAGCAAUAUACAUCACUUAAAUAAUCCAAUACAUAUGAAUAAUAGCAGAAUAAAACAGUCUAGCACUUUUGAAAAGCUAACCAAAGCUUGUUUUCAAUUUCUAUCCCUCUUAACGUGACUAACUACAUUUAAUCAUCUGUAUAGAGAAAAUAUUUAUCCAAAAAAAUGUAUAAACAUGAAUGUAAAGAUUCAUAAAUGACAUGCUUUUAUUAUGGUUUCCAAAAUUUUUCAUCAUGCAUCAAUGCACGUUUUCUAUCAAACUUCCAAUACCAGGUCCUAUGAAAUAAGAGUUGAUAGGACUGCUUCUACAGACGAUGAUAAAUCGUGACAGGUAAUCUAGGCACCAUGUUGGUUCUAUUAUCUUUUAAAUGACUUGUGUCUCCACCCUUUUAUAUACUGAUUAACAUGCCAAGUUAUGUUUAUUCAAGGGACUAUUCCUUUUUUUUUCUUUGGUUGCUCAUAUGCUGGUAAUUGGUUUGUUAUAAAGCUUUUGAUAGUUCGGCUUCUUACGUUCUUCCUAGAUAAAUGAAUAGUAUAGCCUUGAGGAAUACAAUGCUCUUCCCUCAUAUGUAUCUCUAAUUCAUUUUUUAAAAGAAAAAACAGUAUUAGAUAUGCAUUUGGAAGGAAGAGAAUUUGUUCUUCCAGAUGUAUUUCUAAGGGGAUUUGCCAUUUUGAAUUAUCGCUCUCAGUUAAUUUGAAUUCUACUUGAGCUUGCAUUACUCCUUGGGACUAGCAUCUUAUGUUUAUUAGUACAUAGAUUUGCUACUACUUUACAAUGUAAUUUGCAUUAAAGAUUAAAAGGUGACGAUUGUUCUCUAAUCUAUAACUGAUUUAACAUUUUUUAGCUCCUCAUAGUUGAGGGCGCUAAAAUAUUCCAUAUUAAAGCUCCUGAGUUAUGCUUGUCAAAAUCUUGUACCAGAUGCAAAUGCUUUGACCAUUAGUGGUAAAAAGCCUUUUGUAUUUGUUCAUACAAGCCUUGUGAGCCAUUAACUCAAAAGAACUUGCUGGUCUUGAUUAUGUCCUUAAGUUAGACGAACUUUCAAAUGUACUGUUUGUGUUACUAUCUGCUCCUUGGGGUUCUGAUAUGCAUUAUUAAAGAGACGAUGGAUAUCUAUUGACGUACUGCAAAAGAAUCUAUGGGCUCAUAUAUUUUUUUGGUAUAUGUUUGAUUUGAAUGCCGCCCUGUUAUUACGAACAUUCUGUGUUACAUGGCAGAAAAACAGAGAGGUAGACAUAACUGAAAUAGAAAAUCAAAUCGUAUCUACAGGUAACAUCUUUUAGCCAUGUCAGAAAUCCAAGACUCAUGGUCAGUGGGUUUUUGGAUCAACUCCAGCAGGUUUUCUCAAGUUUCUACUUUUGAUAUGAUAUGUCUCAUCCUUAAAUUAUUGUACAAUGACUUCAGGAUGUAGCUUCUCCAGGAUAGUCUGGAUAAACAAGCAUGCAAGGAAUAGUAUUGCUUCUUUUGUUUCUAUAUGUUAUAGAAGGGAGCAAAUUUUUCUAUGCUUGAAUUCACAUGUUAUGAAAUUGCUUCUUUUGUUUCUAUAUGUUAAAUUGGCUAUUUAGUGAUGGGACCGUGCUUCACUUCUGUGCCUGUAUAUUACUAGGCUUUCUCUUCAAGGAUUUAUUGUUAUUUACACGUCUCACUUAUACAUCUCAGGUAGAUGUGUUAAAAUUUAACACACUGGCGCAUGUCUCGAUCCUAAUUUUGUUGGAGUAAUUUGAAAAUGGAACUCUUUUGGAGAAGGCACGUAUGAACAAGCUGAGACAAAUGUCAUUUGUACGGUUAUCUUAGGGAAUGUGAUUUGAAGAUGUGAGCAAAAUUCACUGUUCUUAAAUUCACAGAUUGUGAAAUUGUAUUAUAUAUUCGGAUGUAAUAUGUAGUCUUCUAUGUCAUACUCUAAAAAUUAGAACUGUGCUUAUGUGUGUGGUAUUACGGUUGUUCUAAAACAUUUAUUGCUGUUUAGACUUGGAUUUCAA